rnacentral:piRNA from 1 species
UAUUUCUUUGCUGGUUGACUGCUAGUGGGA